UUGAGACGCAGAGGUCCCAAAGUGUCGGAUUGUUCACCCGC
rnacentral:rRNA from 1 species